GCCCCUUCUUAGAUAAACUCCCUUUCCAAGAAAGUAGCAUGCCUACUAACAAUCAUCUUUUGUUCAGCAGGUACAUAGAAGUAGUAUCCAAUACUCUCCUGUGGAUAAUCCACAAACUUAUAUUUUUUGAAUCUAGCACUUAAUAUAUAUCCAAAAAUAUUUUUGACAUAAGUUGGGGUAGCCCUAAAUUUUAAGAUAUUUAAAACUAGGCUUUCUACCCUUCUAUAAUUCAUAUGGAAUGC
rnacentral:lncRNA from 1 species